rnacentral:lncRNA from 1 species
GGGUCUGAUCACGAGCAGCUGAAGGUGGGGUGAGAGAUGAUGGUGCUGGAGGUACAGAAGUAGAAGGCUCUCCAGUCUACUCUGCUCUAUCCUCACUCCUUUUAUGACCAGAUACUUUUCUAAUCCACCUACCUCUGACUACAUGAUACUUCAUCCUAUUCAGAGACCUAUCAUCAUAAAUGUCAAAGUGUGAUAGCUUCUUAUAGGUCUCAUUCUCUAAAGGGACUCCUACUUUCAUAAAUAUUUUCGUGAGGGGCAUACCAUAAGGUAAACAUAUAUUCUUCUUUGAUACCACCUCCCUCAUCUGGUGUAACAUGAUCCCGAGAAGGUUCAAAAGAAUGCCUCUGACAAU